rnacentral:tRNA from 1 species
UCCCUGGUGGCUCAGAUGGUAAAGCAUCUGCCUGCAAUGCGGGAGACCAGGUUCAAUCCCUGGGUCGGGAA